GAUGAACGCUGGCGGCGUGCCUAAUACAUGCAAGUCGAGCGAACGGACGAGAAGCUUGCUUCUCUGAUGUUAGCGGCGGACGGGUGAGUAACACGUGGAUAACCUACCUAUAAGACUGGGAUAACUUCGGGAAACCGGAGCUAAUACCGGAUAAUAUUUUGAACCGCAUGGUUCAAAAGUGAAAGACGGUCUUGCUGUCACUUAUAGAUGGAUCCGCGCUGCAUUAGCUAGUUGGUAAGGUAACGGCUUACCAAGGCAACGAUGCAUAGCCGACCUGAGAGGGUGAUCGGCCACACCGGAACCUAGACACGGUCCAGACUCCUACGGGAGGCAGCAGUAGGGAAUCUUCCGGCAUGGGCGAAAGCCUGACGGAGCAACGCCGCGUGAGUGAUGAAGGUCUUCGGAUCGUAAAACUCUGUUAUUAGGGAAGAACAUAUGUGUAAGUAACUGUGCACAUCUUGACGGUACCUAAUCAGAAAGCCACGGCUAACUACGUG
rnacentral:rRNA from 1 species